rnacentral:rRNA from 1 species
AAUCUUUUCUUUGUCGCCAGGUGUGGCGCGCAUUGCCGCAUGCCAUGCGGUGCUGGCUUCAAUGGCGUAGCGGCCCCGAGAUGAGUUCUCCCUGACUCCUUGAGAGUCCUGAAGGAACGUUGAAGACGGCGACGUUGAUAGGCCGGGUGUGUAAGCGCAGCGAUGCGUUGAGCUAACCGGGACUAAUGAACCGUGAGGCUUAUCCUU